GAUGAACGCUGGCGGCGUGCCUAAUACAUGCAAGUCGAGCGAACGGACGAGAAGCUUGCUUCUCUGAUAUUAGCGGCGGGCGGGUGAGUAAGACGUGGAUAACCUUCCUAUAAGACUGGGAUAACUUCGGAAAACAGUUGCUACUGCCGGAUAAUAUUUUGAACAGCAUGGUUCAGAAGUGAAAGGUGGUCUUGCUGUCUCUUGUAGAUGGAUCCGCGCUGCAUUAGCUAGUUGGUAAGGUAACGGCUUACCAAGGCAACGAUGCAUAGCCGACCUGAGAGGGUGAUCGGCCACACUGGAACUGAGACACGGUCCAGACUCCUACGGGAGGCAGCAGUAGGGAAUCUUCCGCAAUGGGCGAAAGCCUGACGGAGCAACGCCGCGUGAGUGAUGAAGGUCUUCGGAUCGUAAAACUCUGUUAUUAGGGAAGAACAUAUGUGUAAGUAACUGUGCACAUCUUGACGGUACCUAAUCAGAAAGCCACGGCUAACUACGUG
rnacentral:rRNA from 1 species